UACGUAGGGACCGAGCGUUGUCCGGAAUCAUUGGGCGUAAAGCGCGUGUAGGCGGUCCGGUAAGUCCGCUGUGAAAGUCGGGGGCUUAACCCUCGGAUGCCGGUGGAUACUGUCGGGCUUGAGUACGGAAGAGGCGAGUGGAAUUCCUGGUGUAGCGGUGAAAUGCGCAGAUAUCAGGAGGAACACCAAUUGCGAAGGCAGCUCGCUGGGACGUUACUGACGCUGAGACGCGAAAGCGUGGGGAGCAAACAGG
rnacentral:rRNA from 1 species